rfam:Villosiclava virens strain TV-8b Sca_28, whole genome shotgun sequence.
CUCCGGGUGGUCUAGUUGGUUUAUGGCGUCGGACUGUAACGGACUCGCAGCUCAAUCCGAAUGUCGCGUGUUCGAUUCACGCCCUGGAGA